GCCGACUGCAGCGUCGAAAUCGUUAAUACACUCUAAUCGUUCACUUGAUUUUUCGCUGCAUUGGAAAUGCAAGCGGUUAAUUUCGCCGAAUGAAAUGUCUGGACGCUUUUCAGCGCCCGUCUCGUGCUUCUGAGAAGAGCUUGCGGUAUUGGCGUGAACAGACAGGCAAGUGGACGUAUUUAUUCUACAGUUAUUGAACAGUUACUUGUCGAUACAUAUUGAAGUUAGCCUAGAAGCUGUCGUUAAAAGUUCCGUCUUUCAGUAGACCUUGUGCAGCGUACUCUCAGCUCAAUACGAAAUUCUUGACUGCGUUCUCGAGUUUUGUUUAACGGUAAUGAGAAGGAGUUAGAUAAUGCACAGAGGCAAGGUUUUGUCUGGUCUUGCAGGAGUCCCAGGUGUUUUUUGCGCCGCGUACACUGUCGCAAUCGUUACACGUCUGAGGAACCAGACUGGCGGUGCACAGGUAAAGCCGGCUGCCAGUGCAAGCCGCAGUCCCCGACAUUGUCGCUAUAAAGAGGAAAUUUGUACGUGUACUAAGUGUACGCAACGCUUCUUCGUUUAGUAUAUAUUUGGCGGCGCCUCCAGCAGACAAAAUGUGGAUCCCGUACUGCUCCUUCGGUUUGGGCUCGGCAAUGCCUCCGCGUGGCGGGCGCGUUUAAGAGGAAGCUUUAGCUCGGGUGUUCCAAUCUAAAUACAUGUAAACGGAGUAUUCGUUUUUCUCGGCAACCACUGCACCAAAUUUGACGAGGUUUGUUACAUUUAAAACAAAAGCUUAGAAUCUAGAAUUUCUGCUGGGUACACAAAAGAUUUAAGCGAAACAAUUGAAGCAGAGCGGGGCAUGGUGCUUUCAGUGCCCAAUUUUUUAUAGAACAUGUAGUUUUCCAUUAUAAAGGGGACUGUAAUGUGAUGUCUUUAAGUUGGGGGUUGUCUUAUAUUCAGAGUCGACUUAUGUUUCAAUAUGAACGGGAAUUGAGUGUUACGCAAUUCUUUUAACGAGAUUUACCUCUGCUGUUUAGUUUCCAUAUUGUGCGUAGAAGCAACAGUGCGUGCACUUUCAGCUGCUCAGUUUAUCUUCAGUGCUGCUCUCAUUUUGUAGAGUUCAUCACUUGUGCAUGUGCAACACAUUGGCGGAGACAAUACAAACUGCAUUUCUCACUAGCUGGACAAGUCGGAAUGGCAAUGCACCUUGGAGAACAAGACUCGAAUUGUGAAAGUCUGGUGGUUUCCCAGAACUUUGUUUUAUGUCAAGAUGGGCUGACACCAUGUCACCUGAUGCUGUCACUCUCUGGAAAUGCCUAUUUUCUGCCUGCCCAGGAGGAGCUCCAAGCAAUAAUCACCGAUCAAAACGUCUGAUUGUGGUAUUCACCCAUUUAUAAUGUGCCAUCUUUAACAAAACUUUCUUGGC